CUUUUCUUUUUUGGUCGGGUGCAUGCGUGCAGCAGGGCGCUGGUGGGCGCACGAAGGCAGGGGGGUGGUUGCUAGAUCCACCGCAUGGCGGGAUAGGUUGGCGUGGUGGGAUGCGAUACAGCAGCGAGGCGGCGUGAAGUAGAAACAGUUCGGCAGCCCUCUACCCUUCGCCCGGGUAAGAGACAACUACUCCAAUAUGGCCUCCAACGUGUCGUCAAGCCCUCCAGUUCCAAUUGGUAUCGGGUUCUAGGGCCCGCUGCUUGCCCACUGGCCAGCCACACUACAGGUACAAGGGCAGCCGCUUCGGGGAGACGCACCAACAGAAUACACUGAGGAGACGUUCCAGUGGAGGUUGUGUCUAAGAAGGUCGUUGAAGAUUACCUCUACCCUAUUAUCAAGGUCCCAUUUCUUCUCCAUGCUCGUACCUGAAGAUUAUGAAGAGAUAUUCAAACUGUAAAAAACUGUGAAGGACGUUUUUCUUUCAUUUAGACAGUAAAGGAUUUGUAGCACUCUCAAAACGAACUAGACAUUGACUUUAGACUAUCAGAACAACACAAACAAUGCGGUAAGACAUACACCUUAUCAGAAGAACAACACUACUUAUCCGCGUCCCCGUCGUUAGCCUCCUCUCGUCCCGCCUACCCCACCUCUUGCUGCUCCAGUGUGCCUACCUAUAUCGUCGUGUAGUCUCAAUUGAAGUAUAAAGAGCGACUGUUUAUAAAACGAAAACGAAUCAUAGGGUGUAGUACAAUCACGACGUAGAUAGAAUAAACAAAUGACUUUGAUCCUCAUCAUCAUGUAGUAUCAACAACGACUUUUAUGAGGAUGCUAUCCACUAUAACGAAACUAGUAUUUACUUGACGGCACCUUGAUACAUUAGAGCUGCUAAUCUACUUCUACUAUUUGUAACAGUAACAGAACCAGCAAACCUACUAAACCUUCCUCGCUAUGUUGUCUCAAAACUUCCUUUUAGGAGGGCAAACCUAGCGUGCAGCUUGUUUAAUUCACACCACGCGUGUUGACCACAUUCUUGUACAAGACCCUCACAGUUCGUAAAUAAAAGUUCCAGCUGUCAAGGAACAGCUUGCCACCUGGAAAAUGGUUCAUACCCCAGCGAAGUCCGUUCUCCUUAUUCAAAAGGAAGCGACGAUAGAACCAGCGUUCGAGGAAAGUCGUUCUUGCAUUGUUGAACUACAAACUUACCAAGUUCCGACUACGAAACACGAAACAUAGAGAGACAGGCUGUUCCAAAUGUCAAACACAAAGCCGUUAAUGGAAGAAAAGGAUACAUCCAACACUACUCCAGCAAGAAAAGAAAACUCGAAACAUGAGACUCUAAUCUAUGAUAAUAAAGAAGAUAUUACUAGUUUACGUGAAGAGAACGUACCAAAGUUUUUUUUUAUGGAGGUAAAUUAUAAGAAUGUCAAAAUUAGUAUAUACUUGACGAUUCCUUGGUAUGGUGGAAAGACAAAAUGACGAUACAAACAAAUGAUCGAUAAAAUGAAGUUCAUCAGCUAAAUAUAAAUAAAAGACUUUGUUCAUCUAAAUAUAAAUACUCGUACGUGAACGUCAAGUCGUUAAGUAAGAGGUACUUCUUACUGUUUUUACAACGUGGAAUUAAUCCAUAACAAAAGAUACAAAUCAAUUCUAAAAAAUCGUGUAGAAAAGGAACUAUAAGUAUAAGUAUAAAUUCCAGGUAUGGUCACGUGGUGGUUGAUAAUAAAACUGAUUGAAAACAACCACACUUGGUUAGAGAAACUUAAAACAGUCUAUCAAAACUAGUAUUUACUUAACAGCGUCUUGAUAUAUUAGAGGUACUAAUGUUACGGAACUAAAUUAUAAGAAUGUCAAAAUUAGUAUAUACUUGACGAUUCCCUGGUAUACUGGAAAAACAAACUGAAUUCUAAAAAAAUGAUGAUCGAUGAAAUGAACGUCAUCAGUUAAAUAUAACACAAAACUUUGUUCAUCUAAAAAUAAAUAGUCGUACGUGAAAGUCAAGUCAUUUGACCUCAUACGUAAUUAAGUAAGAGGUACUUCAUUACUACUUUUACAACGUGGAAUUACUCCAUAAUAAAAGAUAAAAAAUCAUGCAAAACAUGAUGUUCUCCGUGAUUUGUAUCCUUAACAUCACAUUGGCCUAGAUAUGUACUAAUUCAUAUAUAUGAGUUCAUGGAUGACUCAGAGUCAAAACAAAUAACGUGUCUGAAACACACGUACGUAUGUAUUAAAAAAUCUUGUUACUGAUACAACGUACGACCACAGGGAUACAAAGAUAGGUGUUCCGAUAUAUACACGGAAUAGUAGUCUUUAUUUUACUCAUUAUCCCCGACUCCUCUUACAUGUAAGACAUCGAUCGACUCGUGUUACCUAUUGUUAUGUAGCAUACAUACCUAAGACUUGAUACAUUUCUACUCCUCUGUCUCAUUAGUGUACGGAAAACAAUGAAACAACAAGUAGAAAUCUUAAUCUCUCUCCCUUUCUGUCUCAACGAUCGGGUAUGAUGAACUCUGACUUCCAGUAAAAAGAUAUAUGAUGGUGUAUACUACCGUACAUCAAGAACAUAUAUGCAUAUGAACUCUACAAUACCUAUUUCAACCUCGGUACUUAGAUUCGAAUCAAAAGAUGAUGAAAUAAGGAAUAAGAAAAAUCCCUUGUUAUUAUAUCGUACUACAUCAAGAACAUAUAUGUAUAUGAACUCUACAAGAACUCGCCUCAUAGGGACCAGAAUUUUGAAGAACUCGGGGUAUUUGUCUUUACCGUUUCACUAUCGCGAUUAUUCCACUUAAGUUUCGAUCUAAGUACCCCACCAACAACGAAAAAGUAAGACUCAACACAAAGCAAAUGUAAUUUGAAAAGGGUAAGGGAAGUGGGGACGGCUCUGUAACCAACUACACUUCGGGUCUUGUUUAAGUUAACGUGUUGAUAAGUGUAAUUACUCACACCCAACGUCCCUACAACGCUAACAGUGUACAGGAGGAACUAAAUUCCGCAUGGGAAGUGUACAUUCGUAAAGAACGUCCUUUGUCGUUCUCGAGCGUUGAUAAGUGAUCUGAUCCUUCUUUACGUAUGUAUUUUUCCUUCGAUAACGUUCGCGUGUCUACUCCUACUCUGUCUCUUCAUCGGUUCGUACUCUGUCUAGCAGUAGUAUGAAAUAGAAGAACAUAAAGUCCACCGUGAAUCCACACCCCUUUACCUGUACCACUAACGAUCCUUCCCUCAACUCACCCUCGUUCUGUAUCUUGAAACACUUGCUUAAAUUUAAGACUUCCCUUUCUGUAAAACGUUAUGUCCCGGCCUUUUGAAGUUAGAUCCAACAUAUAUUUGUUAGAUCGUUGAUUAUACGUGAAUCAAAUAAAAAAUGUACAGAGAAAUACCAAGUUUAAUACAAAUCACCCGUUCGUAUAUAGCUGGUUCAAUACAAGUCAAGAAUAUAAUAAUAAUCUAAAAUGUUGCUGAAACAGGUAGAAAAUCAAAAGUAGAAGGGUUGAGUCAUAAGAAA
rnacentral:rRNA from 1 species